rnacentral:rRNA from 1 species
GAUGAACGCUAGCGGCAGGCCUAACACAUGCAAGUCGAGGGGUAGCAGGAUUAAGCUUGCUUAAUUGCUGACGACCGGCGUACGGGUGCGUAACGCGUAUGCAACCUACCUUAUACUGGGGUAUAGCCCGGAGAACUUCGGAUUAAUCCCCCAUAGUACUAAUGAAUCGCAUGGUUUAUUAUUUAAAGCAUUGCGGUAUAAGAUGGGCAUGCGUCCUAUUAGCUAGAUGGUGAGGUAACGGCUCACCAUGGCUACGAUAGGUAGGGGGGCUGAGAGGGUGGUCCCCCACACUGGUACUGAGACACGGACCAGACUCCUACGGGAGGCAGCAGUGAGGAAUAUUGGUCAAUGGGCGCAAGCCUGAACCAGCCAUGCCGCGUGCAGGAAGAAUGCCCUAUGGGUUGUAAACUGCUUUUAUUUGGGAAUAAACCUCUUUACGUGUAGAGAGCUGAAGGUACCAAAUGAAUAAGCACCGGCUAACUCCGUGCCAGCAGCCGCGGUAA